rnacentral:piRNA from 1 species
UAUACAGGCAUCUCUUUCUCUACUGUUGCCC